rnacentral:lncRNA from 1 species
CCACGCUACAGGGGAGGGGAGAAGCUGCAGCCGCCUGAGGCUCUUCACAGAGCGCACAGGCGGCUGCAGUAUUUAAAGGGCCGGCCCCAGGUGCCGACGGCCCACCGGGAAAUUUCCCGGUAUCCCGGUGGGCCAGUCCGGCCCUGAGUGUGGGUCACAUUAGCAAUCAUUUCACUGUGAGAUGUGUCUCUCCUUUUGAGAUGGUUCUUGGAGGUAGUCCUCACGAUCAAAAGAACUUGUAUAGUGUGUUAUAUAGUCCUGCUUGUUAACAUAAUCCCAAUGCAGUUUUAAAACGACAGCUAGGGUUGAUGUUAUGAUAAUGCUGCAGAUUGUAAGAAGCAGACACCAUAACCAAUUUUCUAGCAUCCUUCUGCUUCCAUCUUUGCAUUUCUUUCUUACUGUAUAAAAUAAUUCAGGUACAGUCUGUUUUCUCGAGAGUCUUUCUGAUAAUAAUGUUGAUUCAUUUUUCAUACAUUCCAUGUUAACUGUGAAUGUAUCACGUCUGUCUGUCCAUCCUUCUCCUUCACAUUUGCAGGUUCAGAUGUCAGAUCAUGAUUCAGUCUGUUACGUGGCUAUGAUUCUGGUGGCUUUUCUGUCGUCCUCUGAUUUAUCUUGCCAUCUUUAACAGCAUCCACUGUGUCAGUCAGUGGUUCUGUGAAUGUCUUGGAAGUAUUUUAGCAGGUUGCAAAAUAUCAAAUUCACUGUUCUCUGUUGGCUCUGAUUGUUCUCUGUAGUAAAAGUUCUCGGAGUCACCCUCUCCAGGACAAGCUGGCCAACAGAAGGAAAUAGGUGGUGGUGCAAGACGAGGUGGGCUGGAAAAAAAAUUCCCUAAAUUUCUCUAAUAGAACCAAUGGUUCUAAGCUCUCCCUGGUGCAGAAAUAUGUUUGUCAGUGAAAAACGUGUAACAUUUCAUAUGGUGUCUCACCAUUUGUAUCAUCAGGUAUGUUGUGAAUGCUCAUCUGUACCAUGGGAAUAAAUAGAUACCACUGUGUGGGGCAAGCAACUAGUAACUUGGUUAAUAAUCAUUUAACCUCAGCAUUUUCCCAGACCACAACCCCACUUCUUUGGGGGUGGUUGAGGCACUGAAAUCCCAAAGUAACCCAAAUGUGGUUGCCCAGUUUUAGGUUUCCUUUGCAGUAACUGCAGGACCACCAUCCAAAUGGAUGGUCCUGGGAUUAUCAAAUGCAUACUAAGGAACUGAGACUAGAAAACGUGGCAUCAGAGGUUGCACUUCGCACAGGAUAUAUCCAAGUAAACCUGGUACAUGCAUCAACACAUACAAAAACAUAUUUAUAACCAUGAGAUGUUGGCAAACUUCCAAUAUAUAGUAAUUCAAAAAGUAUGUUAGAUAUUUUUCAAUAAACAGUACAUCAGUAAUGUGGCAAUAAGCAAAUGCUUAUGAUUAGUAAACACAUGAAUUACGGUAUUUCCCAUAUUGGACCACUAAUAUUCCUUUUCAGGAGUCAGAAGUACAUUAUCUCUCUCUAUAAGAGCUCGUCCUAGCCAUAAAAAAGCUUUUAGGGCAAGUCCAUCUUUCCUCUAUAGGAAGAACAACCAACAUAUUACCUUCAAUGGUUAUUAUGUAAUUAACCCCUCUAAACGAUAGGAGUAUUUAUACGGAUACCAGGUGGAUGAGGUCUGGAUAUCCUUGCAAGCAUAAACUCUGCAUCAUGACUGAGAGAUAGGGUAUGCGAUGUGAUCCAGUGACCACAGAAAAGCGUUGGUAGACACAUUGCAUCAAAGUGCCUGUUACAGACCAACUACAUGAGGAGAGGACCCAUGCUUUGUUAUAAGCAUGUCCAUACACGUAUUACAAUGCCAGGCUUUCAAUUUGUUACCACAAAGCAAAUUGCAGUUGUGGAUAUAAACUCACGACGUAUCGUAAGAAAAACUGUUUGAACUCCAGACUGAGACUCGAGAUCAGUGAACAGUGGACCAAAAUAGAUAAAUGAAAUCUUAUCAAUUACUAUACUUUCAAUAUAUUACUUUAUCCUCUGUAUUAACUAUGAAAUAUUAAAGUUAAAACAAUAACAUUUACAAGCCAACUUUUAGUGUGCAUAGGAAUUACAAGGCCGUUCAUAAUGUGAGAUAAAGAACAGCUUUUUUUUAAAACCAGAUAGUCUGUGAACACAAAAUUACCUUGCGCUGAAAAUUCACUUGCAGGGGAAAAACAAAACCUUCUUUUUUUUUUUUCUUUAGUAAAUUAAUUAAUUAAUUAAACGUAGUUAGAACCUCCCUCAAAGUCCCGACGACUUUGCAAGAAACAUGUCGUCCUUAAAUACUGGGUAGGUCUAUUAAACAGUGACAUAGCAUUGUUACCAUGUGUAUUAUGUUGUCACAGCUAUAAUGUGCAGUAUUACAAACUAUUUUAUAAGUGUUGUGCAAACUGUUCAUUAAAAGCCAGUGAUCUAGCGAGCUAUAGAACAUUUAUUUAUUUAUUCUUUAAAGCUCUGACCUCAAUCGGCAAAGCAAUAUUGUAAUGGUGUCCAUUGCAAUCUGCUAUCUAUACUUGCUGCUCUCAAAAAUUCUGAAUAUGUUCAGAGAUUUCUUGGGCAAUAAUAAAUCCCCAAAAACAACAACUUUGCAUUUAUGCUAAACCUGCCUGUUGUAAACGUAUUCUGUAUAUUUCUUGUCAUAAGUACUUGUACUUAAAUCUGUUUAACAAAGCUGUUUAUAUUGUGACUGUUUAUAUAUUUU